AUCCCGUGCUUAACUUCUCCCUGGCUCCUCCAAUGUGAGGUGCUCCCUCAGUGAGAAAUUACAAAACUGGCUCAUCAUAUGUCGAAAGAGCUUCUUGCGGCUUCUACUGUCAUCUUGGAUUUUCCUUCUCUGCUUUGUAACACUCGAAAUGGAUCCCAUGAGGCAAGUCUCACACUUGGUAUCCUCCAUUUCCUCAGCCUAACUGAAUGACUCAACCUCCUAAACAUUCCUGCAGCUCCCAGCUGGCACUACCAGGGCCACUCAGAUCAUGACCCUAUGGAAAACACUUCACAUACAAGUAAUGAAGGAUCUUCAAGAUGAACAAACCUUGGAAACAUUGGAAUAUGUGGAACUGUCUGUGUUCUAUGUCUACAGUUUUAUGACCUGAAUGAUCAUAUCAGCAUGGUGUCAGUUGUGCUAAGAUCUGAGGGGUCUACUAAGAUCUGGGGGCCAGUUACACUGGUUUCACAAAGACUGGCACCCGAGAGCAGAAGUAUGCGAUCCAUGUGCAUAUAGUGCGAGAAUGAGUUUCUGGGCUUUCUCUCCGCAAACCCCCAUUGCACCCCACUCCCAUGCUUCUAUUCACUCCUGCUUCACUGUCCUAGC